rnacentral:rRNA from 1 species
GCGUGGGUGAUGAAGCUCUGAGGAGUGUAAAACCCUGUUAGAAGGGAAGAAUCUUCCGACUUGUCGGAAUUGACGGUACCUUCAGAGAAAGCUCCGGCUAACUCCGUGCCAGCAGCCGCGGUAACACGGGGGGAGCAAGCGUUGUCCGGAUUUACUGGGCGUAAAGCGCGUGUAGGCGGGACUAUAAGUCGGUGGUGAAAUCUUUCGGCUCAACCGGAAACCUGCCACCGAUACUAUUGUCCUUGAGUGCGGAAGAGGGAAGUGGAAUUCCAGGUGUAGCGGUGAAAUGCGU